rnacentral:rRNA from 1 species
AGAAUCAACGCUGGCGGCGUGCCUAACACAUGCAAGUCGCACGAGAAAGGGACUUCGGUCCUGAGUAAAGUGGCGCACGGGUGAGUAACACGUGAAUAAUCUACCUCCGAGUGGGGAAUAACUGAGAGAAAUCUUAGCUAAUACCGCAUAAUACCCACGGGUCAAAGCAGCAAUGCGCUUGGAGAGGAGUUCGCGGCCGAUUAGCUAGUUGGCGGGGUAAUGGCCCACCAAGGCGAUGAUCGGUAUCCGGCCUGAGAGGGCGCACGGACACACUGGAACUGAAACACGGUCCAGACUCCUACGGGAGGCAGCAGUGGGGAAUUUUGCGCAAUGGGGGAAACCCUGACGCAGCAACGCCGCGUGGAGGAUGAAGUAUCUUGGUACGUAAACUCCUUUCGAUAGGGAAGAUAAUGACGGUACCUAUAGAAGAAGCCCCGGCUAACUUCGCGCCAGCAGCCGC